rnacentral:rRNA from 1 species
CGACCGGCGCACGGGUGAGUAACGCGUAUGCAACCUGCCUGAUACCGGGGUAUAGCCCAUGGAAACGUGGAUUAACACCCCAUAGUACUUUUAUCCUGCAUGGGAUGUGAGUUAAAUGUUCAAGGUAUCGGAUGGGCAUGCGUCCUAUUAGUUAGUUGGCGGGGUAACAGCCCACCAAGACGAUGAUAGGUAGGGGUUCUGAGAGGAAGGUCCCCCACAUUGGAACUGAGACACGGCCCAA